UCCCGGCCCGCCCGCUCUCCGUCCCCACCGUCCCCGGCUGCAGCCUCCCUGCCUCCACUGCUCCGGCACCGAUCUUUAAUUUCCCAGUGAUCCUGCUCCUUUCAUACUGGCCCAGGCGUGUUGCAUGUGCCAAACCGCAAAGCCUAUAGAGCACAGGUCCUUGCAGAUGAGGAGAUCUCCAGCCUGUGUCUUCGCAGGUCUGCGUUGAGCAGCUCCCCUUCUUGUGGGUGGGAGACUAAAUCCCAAUGAGAAAGAAACUGACCAGCAGGCUGGGCUCUCCCAGGUUCCUAGAAGUGGCAGAAGGAAACCCACCGGCUACUUUACACCGCUGACAGUGGAAGAGUAGAAGCUGCCUGAAGCCCAGAGUUGUACUAGACAUGUUUCAGCAUCCUUAACACCUCUUUGCCUUGCUUAGUGGUGUUAGGAUUGUGAUCUCAGGUGGC